GUGGGGAGUAUUGGACAAUGGGGGAAACCCUGAUCCAGCCAUGCCGCGUGAGUGAAGAAGGCCUUAGGGUUGUAAAGCUCUUUCGCACGCGACGAUGAUGACGGUAGCGUGAGAAGAAGCCCCGGCUAACUUCGUGCCAGCAGCCGCGGUAAUACGAAGGGGGCAAGCGUUGUUCGGAUUUACUGGGCGUAAAGGGCGCGUAGGCGGAACGACAAGUCAGAGGUGAAAGCCCUGGGCUCAACCCGGGAAUUGCCUUUGGGACUGCCGUUCUAGAGUUCGGAAGAGGAUGGCGGAAUACCCAGUGUAGAGGUGAAAUUCGUAGAUAUUGGGUAGAACACCGGUGGCGAAGGCGGCCAUCUGGUCCGACACUGACGCUGAGGCGCGAAAGCGUGGGGAGCAAACAGGAUUAGAUACCCUGGUAGUCC
rnacentral:rRNA from 1 species